rnacentral:lncRNA from 1 species
GUCAUCAAGGCUUAAGUCCUAAGGUCUCCGGUGAUAACCAAUGCAACACAAACUGUGGUUAAUCCUCUGUAAGAUUGACUGGAUCAGGAAGGCUGGAAGGCUGGAAGUCUGAGCAGCAAGGCACGGUUGAUCAACAAUACCUAUUGUUGAGCAUUUGAGAUUUGUUAAUGAAAUUCAUUCUCCAUGUUAGCAACCGUUAAUCGAGCAGCAAGGCACGGUUGAUCAACAAUACCUAUUGUUGAGCAUUUGAGAUUUGUUAAUGAAAUUCAUUCUCCAUGUAAGCAACCGGUAAUCAUUUUGCUGCUUCAGUUCAAGUUUGGAGCUUUAAAAUGAUCACUAGUUGGAAGUAGAUUGUUGUAGCUUUUGCCCAACUU